rnacentral:rRNA from 1 species
CGCGUAGGCGGGAUGGCAAGUCGGUCGUGAAAUCCUUCGGCUCAACCGAAGAACGUCGGCCGAUACUGCCGUUCUUGAGGGAUGCAGAGGAGACUGGAAUUCCCGGUGUAGCGGUGAAAUGUGUAGAGAUCGGGAGGAACACCGGUGGCGAAGGCGGGUCUCUGGGCAUCUCCUGACGCCGAGGCGCGAAAGCGUGGGGAGCAAACGGGAUUAGAUACCCCGGUAGUCCACGCCAUAAACGAUGACGACUAGGUGUGGGGUGGUUCAGUCCACUCCGUGCCGCAGCUAACGCAUUAAGUCGUCCGCCUGGGGAGUACGGCCGCAAGGUUGAA